rnacentral:rRNA from 1 species
CAGCAGCCACGGUAAUACGAAGGGGGCUAGCGUUGUUCGGAAUUACUGGGCGUAAAGCGCGCGUAGGCGGAUAUUUAAGUCAGGGGUGAAAUCCCAAGGCUCAACCUUGGAACUGCCUUUGAUACUGGAUAUCUGGAGUUUGGGAGAGGUGAGUGGAAUUCCGAGUGUAGAGGUGAAAUUCGUAGAUAUUCGGAGGAACACCAGAAGCGAAGGCGGCUCACUGGCCCAAUACUGACGCUGAGGCGCGAAAGCGUGGGGAGCAAACAGGAUUAGAUACCCCCGUAGUCCCUGUCUCUUAUAC